rnacentral:pre_miRNA from 1 species
ACAAGGCAAGAUGUUGGCAUAGCUGAAGUUAAUGUACUGAAUUUGGCUCGAUUACUCGCAGCCUAAUCAGUCCAAACAAGUUUCAGCUCUGCUACAUUAGGCCAC